GAGUCUAGCAUGUGCGCGAGUCAUUGGGACUCGAAUGAAACCUAAAGGCGUAAUGAAAGUGAAGGUUCGCCUUGCGCGAACCAAGGGAGGAUGGUCGAUCGUUAGGGGUCGUCCCGCACUCCCUGGGCGUCUCGUUCUCACUGCGAGAAGAGGCGCACCAAGAGCGUACACGCUGGGACCCGAAAGAUGGUGAACUAUGCCUGGUCAGGACGAAGUCAGGGGAAACCCUGAUGGAGGUCCGUAGCGAUUCUGACGUGCAAAUCGAUCGUCGGAACUGGGUAUAGGGGCGAAAGACUAAUCGAACCAUCUAGUAGCUGGUUCCCUCCGAAGUUUCCCUCAGGAUAGCUGGCGCUCGCUUCUCGCGAGUCUCAUUCGGUAAAGCGAAUGAUUAGAGGCAUUGGGGUCGAAACGGCCUCAACCUAUUCUCAAACUUUAAAUGGGUGAGAUCUCCGGCUUGCUUGAACUGUGAAGCCGCGAGAUAUCGGAUCAGAGUGCCAAGUGGGCCACUUUUGGUAAGCAGAACUGGCGCUGUGGGAUGAACCAAACGCCGAGUUAAAGCGCCUAAAUCGACGCUUAUGGGAUACCAUGAAAGGCGUUGGUAACUUAAGACAGCAGGACGGUGGCCAUGGAAGUCGGA
rnacentral:rRNA from 1 species